AGAGUUUGAUCCUGGCUCAGAUUGAACGCUGGCGGCAUGCCUUACACAUGCAAGUCGAACGGUAACAGGUCUUCGGAUGCUGACGAGUGGCGAACGGGUGAGUAAUACAUCGGAACGUGCCCGAUCGUGGGGGAUAACGGAGCGAAAGCUUUGCUAAUACCGCAUACGAUCUACGGAUGAAAGCAGGGGACCGCAAGGCCUUGCGCGGACGGAGCGGCCGAUGGCAGAUUAGGUAGUUGGUGGGAUAAAAGCUUACCAAGCCGACGAUCUGUAGCUGGUCUGAGAGGACGACCAGCCACACUGGGACUGAGACACGGCCCAGACUCCUACGGGAGGCAGCAGUGGGGAAUUUUGGACAAUGGGCGCAAGCCUGAUCCAGCCAUGCCGCGUGCAGGAUGAAGGCCUUCGGGUUGUAAACUGCUUUUGUACGGAA
rnacentral:rRNA from 1 species